GACGAACGCUGGCGGCGUGGAUUAGGCAUGCAAGUCGAACGGUAUCAUCCUUUCGGGGGUGAGAGAGUGGCGAACUGGUGAGUAACACGUAGGUUAUCUACCCUCAAGACGGGGACAACCCAGGGAAACUUGGGCUAAUACCGGAUGUGAGCAACUUUUUAGUUGUUUGAAAGGUGGCGUAAGCUGUCGCUUGGGGAUGAGCCUGCGUCCUAUUAGUUAGUUGGUGAGGUAACGGCUCACCUAGGCAAUGAUAGGUAGGCGGCCUUAACGGGUGGUCGCCCACACUGGGAUUGAGAUACGGCCCAGACUCCUACGGGAGGCAGCAGUCGAGAAUAGUCUACAAUGGUCGGAAGACUGAUAGUGCGACGCCGCGUGAACGAUGAAUCCCUUCGGGGUGUAAAGUUCUUUUAUAUGUGAGCAGUGCUUCUUAUAUUAACAGUAUGGGGAAGAGAUAUUAGCAUAUGAAUAAGCAACGGCUAACUCCGUGCCAGCAGCCGCGGUAAGCU
rnacentral:rRNA from 1 species